GACGAACGCUGGCGGCGUGCCUAAUACAUGCAAGUAGAACGCACAGUUUAUACCGUAGCUUGCUACACCAUAGACUGUGAGUUGCGAACGGGUGAGUAACGCGUAGGUAACCUGCCUGGUAGCGGGGGAUAACUAUUGGAAACGAUAGCUAAUACCGCAUAAUAUUAAUUAUUGCAUGAUAAUUAAUUGAAAGGUGCAAUUGCACCACUACCAGAUGGACCUGCGUUGUAUUAGCUAGUAGGUGAGGUAACGGCUCACCUAGGCGACGAUACAUAGCCGACCUGAGAGGGUGAUCGGCCACACUGGGAGUGAGACACGGCCCAGACUCCUACGGGAGGCAGCAGUAGGGAAUCUUGGGCAAUGGACGAAAGUCUGACCGGGCAACGCCGCGUGAGUGAAGAAGGUUUUCGGAUCGUAAAGCUCUGUUGUAAGAGAAGAACGGGUGUGAGAGUGGAAAGUUCACACUGUGACGGUAUCUGACCAGAAAGGGACGGCUAACUACGUG
rnacentral:rRNA from 1 species